AGUUGUAAAAUAGAACAAAAGAACUGUCACGCAAACGUAGUGGAAAUUGAAUUUAUUUCAAUUUUUUACUCCGGAGUACACAAUUCAUGACACCCCAUGUGAAAUGCCCGAAAAUUUUUCAGUUGAAAAUAAGCGAAAAAUAUUUGACAGAUUUGACAUUCUAAACUGAUCUCAUCAUAAGAAUACAAUUUUGGUGGGUUUCUUUCGUUUUAUUUGUUCCACACCGUUCCACAUGUUGUCAACAAAAGAAGCGUAAAGAGUGUCGUUUCACUCACACGUACGUGUGGAAUUGAAGAAGCGUAAAG